rnacentral:rRNA from 1 species
CUAAUACCGCAUGUGGUCUUCGGAUUAAAGCUUCGGCGCUUUGGGAGCGGCCUGCGUAUGAUUAGUUUGUUGGUGAGGUAAUGGCUCACCAAGGCUUCGAUCAUUAGCUGGUCUGAGAGGAUGAUCAGCCAGACUGGGACUGAGAACGGCCCAGACUCCUACGGGAGGCAGCAGUAGGGAAUUUCCACAAUGGGACGAAAGUCUGAUGGAGCAACGCCGCGUGCAGGAUGAAGGCUUUCGGGUCGUAAACUGCUUUUAUAUGUGACGAUUUGACGGUAGCAUAUGAAUAAGGAUCGGCUAACUCCGUG